ACAGGGUCAAAUAUAACACGUUACAUUUGAAAUUGAAAUUCGCCAGAUUGGUUACGUUGCCUUUGAGACUGUAUAGUAGCCCAGGAAUGAAAUUUACACCCAUAAUGGCAUACCAUUUGCAAUAGUAGACAACCCAAGGUAUUGCAAUGGGGUAUGUCCAGUCUUUUUUAGUAGCCAUUUGGUCACAAACACUUGGUUUAUUUUCU